rnacentral:lncRNA from 1 species
UUACAAUCACUACAAAAUACCAAAAAUAUUACUUUUGCUGUCUUUACUUUUGUUGCCGCUACCACCACUAUCAUAUUACUUUGCUACUAAACACUUUGCUGCAGAUACUAAGUUUCCAGGUGUGGUUGAAUUGACAACUCAGCUGCUAAUACUUGAGAAUAUUCUUUGGCUCCCCUUGUGUCGAAUCAAUAAAUUUGGGUUGAAUACUCUACCCUCGAAAGCUGUUGCCAUCCCCUAUACUUGUGGGUUAUCAAGACAAAUUUCUGGCACUGUUGCCGAGGAGCAUAGCUCUAUUCUUUGAGUCACUUGGGAUUUAUAUCUGUUGGACACUAUGAAGAACUUGAGAGAUCCAAAAACCAAGAUCUAUCCCUCAACUACGAGGGGAGGUAAGGAACUGCCAUCUAGCUCUGCACUUGAUUCACCUUCUGUUAUGAGUAAGUUUGCGACACCUACACCUGCUUCUGCUAUUUGUUCUGAUAUGUCGCAUGUUAUUGAUGAUGCCACUUCUGCUAUGCAUGAUACUUAUGAUGAAGCUGCUUCUAUGUCUGAUACUACUGUGCCCCUUGGUGAUUUUCUAGAAGACCAAAUUGCUAGGGCUAGAGAAAGAGAAAUUAUUGAAUCUGAAUAUGAUGAUUAAAAUAUGCCUGUUAUUCCUAGAGGUUAUCUUUUUGAUAAAGAUGCUUCUUUAGCUAUUUUAGCUUGCAGAGAUAGAUAUGAGCUUAAGAGGUUAUUAAUUAAAUGGAACAAAGAAUCACUUAGAGAUAGAAUGAGACCCGACCCUGAUUUUGCUACUUCACCUACAUGUGUUCCUGAUAAAGAUUAUGAAUUCUCUGUUGAUCCUGAUAUAAUUACUUUGGUUGAAUCUGAUCCGUUUUAUGGCUAUGAAUCUGAAACUGUUGUGGCACAUCUUACUAAGUUAAAUGAUAUAGCUGCCCUGUUCAUUGAUAAUGAGAGAUCACAUUACCUCUAUUUACUCAAAAUAUUCCCGUUCUCAUUAAAGGGUGAUGCUAAGAUAUGGUUUAAUUCUCUUGAUCCUGGUUGUGUGCGUAGUCCCCGGGAUAUGAUUUAUUACUUCUCUGCUAAAUAUUUCCCUGCUCAUAAGAAACAAGCUGCUUUAACGGAAAUAUACAACUUUGUGCAAAUCAAAGAAGAGAGUCUCCCACAAGCUUGGGGGAGGCUUCUCAAGCUACUUAAUGCUUUGCCUGACCAUCCUCUUAAGAAACCUGAAAUACUUGAUAUCUUUUAUAAUGGACUAACCGAUGCUUCUAGAGAUUACCUGGAUAGUUGUGCUGGUUCUCUUUUCAGAGAAAGAACACCGGAUGUAGCUAAAAUUCUAUUGAAUAAUAUGUUGACAAAUGAAAAUAAUUAGGCACCUCCUGAGCCAGCUCCUGCUCCAAUUACUAAGCCUAUUCCUAAACCAACUCCGAAGAAGAGAGGUGUUUUAUUUCUCAGUUGAAGACGUUAAGAAUUUACCUCCUAUUGAAGACGUUAAGAAUUUACCUCCUAUUGAAGAAAUACAUGGUCUUAAUUCACCGCCUGUUGAAGAGACAUAUGAUCUCAAUUAUUUAUUUACUAAAGAACCUCCUGAUCCCGAUAUCCCAACAUAGGCAGUAAAGGUAAAUUCUCUCUAUAGAUAUGAUAAAGCUGAAGUCCCUCCUACUAAAAUUGCUACUCAGUGCUUGGAUGAGUUUGAUAACUUUAUGUAUAAGCAAGACGACUUCAAUGCUUAUUUUGGUAGACUAUUAAAAGAAAAUGCUUAUAUGAUUAGACGCUUGGGUGAUUAUAUUGCUGAUAUUAAGGGUGAACUUAAACUUAUUAGCAAACAUGCUUCUAUGGUCACCACCCAAGUAGAACAAGUACUUAAAGCUCAAAAAGAAGUGCUUAAUGAAAUGAAUAGUAAGAAAAAUGAUUAUGCUAUUAGAUUGGCUACUAGAACUGGUAGAAUGACUCAGGAACCUUUGUAUCCUGAAGGCCACCCUAAGAGAAUCGAGCAAGAUUCUUAGAGAAAUAAUAUUGAUGUUCCUAGUUCUUCUAAAAAUAAGAAGAAAAAAAUGAUAGAACUGUGCAAACUUCUAGUGAACCUAUUGUUGAACCACCUGAUAAUCCAAAUGAUAUAUCUAUGUCUGAUGCUGAAACACAAUUUGGUAAUGAGCCUGAACCUAAUGAAAAUAUUAAUGCUGAUGUUCAUGAUGAUGCUCAACCUAGUAAUGACAAUGAUGUAGAAAUUGAACCUGCUGUUGAUCUUGAUAACCCACAAUCAAAGAAUCAACGUUAUGAUAAAAGAGACUUUGUUGCUAGGAAAUAUGAUAAAGAAAGGGAACCUUGGGUUCAGAAACCCAUGCCUUUUCCUCCGAAACCAUCCAAGAAAAAGGAUUAUGAGGAUUUUGAGUGCUUUGCUGAAAUGAUUAGGCCUAUCUUUUUGCGUAUGAGAUUACCUGAUGUGCUCAAAAUGAAUCCUUAAGCUAAAUAUAUGAAAGAUAUCAUUACUAAUAAAAUAAAGAUACCGGAAGCUGAGAUUUCCACCAUGCUUGCUAAUUAUACUUUUAAGGGUGGAAUACCAAAGAAACUUGGAGACCCCGGAGUACCUACUAUACCUUGCUCCAUUAAAAGAAAUUAUAUUAAAACUGCUUUAUGUGAUCUUGGAGCUGGUGUUAGUGUUAUGCCUCUCUCUUUAUAUCGUAGACUUGACUUGAAUACGUUGACACCUACUAAAAUAUCUUUGCAAAUGGCUGAUAAAUCAACUGCUAUACCUGCUGGUGUUUGUGAGGAUGUGCCUGUUGUGGUUGCAAACGUUACUAUUUUAACGGACUUUGUUAUACUUGAUAUUCCCGAGGAUGAUAGUAUGUCUAUUAUUCUUGGAAGACCUUUUCUUAAUACUGCAGGGGCUGUUAUUGAUUACAACAAAGGCAAUGUCACUUUUCAUGUUAAUGGUAAUGAGCAUACGGUACACUUUCCGAGGAAACAACCUCAAGUUCAUAGUAUCAACUCUAUUGGAAAAAUUCCAUCGAUUAUAUUUGGAGGUUUUGAAUUUCCUCUUCCUACUGUCAAGAAAAAAUAUGAUAUUCUUAUUAUAGGGGAUGUGCAUAUCCCCGUUGAGGUAACUUAGUGUUAUUCAAAAUUUCUCAGGUUUCCUGAUUAUCGGAAUGAGUUUGUUAACAAGACUUGAUCAACCUUGUUAGCGGAUUCUUUUUGAUGAGCAUGAGAUGGAUGAAACUAGAAGCACAAACUUCUGUACCCUAUUUAUACUUUCUGUUAUUUAUAUUAAAUAAAGUAAAAAUAGUAUUUUUCUGUCUGUUAUCUGAUUAUCCGUGCAAUAUAAAAAUAUCCCGAAAAUAAAAGUCCUCAGAAUGCCAUGCCAAUUUAAUAUGAUUUUUUCGGGAAUAUUUGAGGAUUUACUGUGCAAAAAUUACCGCGGGAGGAGCUGCCACUUGGCCAUGAGGGUGGUGGGCGCCCCCCCUAUAGGGUGCGCCCCCUGCUUCGUGGGCCCAUGAUGGCCCUCCUCCACUUAUUCCAGCACCCAUCUUCUUCCUCUGUCUCACACAAACCCGAAAAACCAACUCAAGCACGAGUUCCAACCACUUUUGCUGUGAUUUUCGAUCUCCUUGCUCAAAGCACCUCUCACAAAACUGCUUGGGGAGAUUGUUCCUUGGUAUGUGACUCCUCCAUUGGUCCAAUUAGUUUUUGUUCUAGUGCUUUAUUCAUUGCAAAUUUGUGCUGCAUAGGUGACCAUGUUCUUGAGCUUGCAUGUCAAAUUUAUAUGGUUCCAAGUAGUUCUAAUGCUUGAUAUAGGCUCUAGGCACUUGUAGGAGUAGUUGCUAUCAGUUUAAUUGAGUUUGGUUCACUUUUAUUUCGAAUUUAAUAAAAAUUUCAGAAUUUUUUCAGAGAAAAACAAUAUGUUUAGGAAGAUGUUCCAAGGUGGUUCCUCUAAGAAGCAAGGACCCAGAAUUGCUAUGCGCGAUGCUGACGAGGAUCCACCAAGAGACGCUCUAGUACGGCCUUGUGAAUGGCCAUCGGAAAAUUUUAUGGACCAUGCGGGAAUUAAAGAAGAAUUCAAAUCAUAUUUGCGCAAUGCCGAUCUUGAGGAUUUUGAGGCUAACAAAUGCCCCCAGUGUCAUGAUCUCACAAGUUCAUUUGUGAGGAGGUUUGAGUAUUCAUCUUCGCGUAAUUCUCCUUCAGUCAUGUUUGAUCUUUAUGACAAAUCUUAUACCAUGGACCUAGAGGAUUUCAGUUCUGCUUGCGAACUUCCAUCAUGGGGCAGUAUUAGGGAUCCUCCUAAAUCUGAAUUUAGAAACUUUCUUGCUAGUAUUACUGUGGGGGAAUCCAGAGAUAUAACGCAGGCUACCAUAGGGAGCAUUCAUUUUCCUGCUAUACAUUAUUUUGCUCUUUUCAUUGGUAGAUGCAUAAAUGCUAAGGAUGAAGCAUGUCACAUGUGUGUCCCUGAUCUUAGCAUUCUUAGGAGUGUUGUGUUAGGAGACCAAUCUUAUCAUAUGGGAGCCAUUGUAGCUCGUAGGUUGCAUCAUAAUAGACAUGAUGGAGAUUUCUUUGGAGGAAUUUAUGCAACUCGCUUAGCUCAUUUUCUUGGAAUAGACAUUCAUGAGGGUGAUAUAGAGUUGCCUCCUGCAUAUUUAGAUUAUAACUCUAUGGCUUCACACCAGUUUGUUGAGAGGCCUGAAUCACCUCUCUUAUACCGCUUAAUUUUUGAUAAACGACGUGUUUUCCGUAUUACUCUCCCUGCUCAUGCCUUCUUUGAUUCACAGACAAAAGGAAGAUAUGUUAUUACCAGAGAGGAGGCAGAAGAGUACGAGAGGAGAGCGGAGGCAGCUCGACUCCACGCCGCAGCUCAGCAGGCGAUAACCGCUGCACAUCAGUAUGAUCCCAACUAUUCCUCCUCGUCACAGUACGACCCCAACAACUAUUAUUAUGGAUAUCCGCCAGGCCAGCCAUGGCCAUAGACCAACUUAGGCCAAAAGCCUAAGCUUGGGGGAGUACGUAUUUCUCACCGACAUUACAUUUAUGCUCACACACACUCAUUGCUAGAUGUCGAUGCUCAUACUUUUUCAUUGUAAUAUCCAUACAAGUUUAUUUUCUUUUUCCUUCUUUCUUCUUGUGUGUUUGCUUAACCUUAAGAAAAACCAAAAAAAAUAGUAGUAGUUUAUUUUUCUGUUGUAGUAGUAAUAAUUAAAAAAGAAAACCCAAAAAUAUUUCCCAUUCUUCUUUUGCUUGUUGGGAGCUUUCCCGUGUAAAUAGUUUUAUUUCUUUUCUUUUCUUUGGGGGUCAGUAGGAGAAGACCAUAAUUAAAUUGUUGAAGUGGCUCUUAUAUGCAUUAUUGAUUGAUUUAACCAAGAGCCCAUAUUGCCUUGUCUUCUCCUGUUUAUCGAAUGCUCGCAGAUUCCAGCUUAGUCCAAUGCAUGUGCACUCUUAUUAUUAUUCACACUAUUCGGUCGUGCAAGUGAAAGGCAAUUAUGAUGAUAUAUGAUGGACUGACCGAGAUAAGAAAAGCUGGUAUGAACUCGACCUCUUUUGUUUUUGUAAAUAUGAUGAGUCCCUCGUUCUUGAUUCAGCUUAUUAUGAAUAAACAUGUUUGCAAUGACAAUUAGAGAUCAGAGUUGCUUGUGCCAUGCUUGAUUAGCUAUGAGUUAUAAUGAUUUACCUUGUGUGCUAACAUGCUAUUAAAAUGGUUAUGAUGUGGUAUGAUGGGGUGGUAUCCUCCUUUGAAUGAUUUAAGUGACUUGACUUGGCACAUGUUCACUCAUGUAGUUGAAACAAAAUCAACAUAGCCUUCACGAUAUUUAUGUUCAUGGUGGAUUAUAUCCUACUCAUGCUUGCAUCCAAUGUUUAUUAAUUUUAAUGCAUGUACAUGGCUGUUGUCGCUCUCUAGUUGGUCGCUUCCCAGUCUUUUGCUAGCCUUCACCUGUACUAAGCAGGAAUACUGCUUGUGCAUCCAAUCCCUUGAACCCCAAAGUUAUUCUAGAUGAGUCCACUAUACCUUCCUAUAUGCGGUAUCUACCGGCCGUUCCAAGUAAAUUUGUAUGUGCCAAACUCUAAACCUUCAAAUAAACAUUCUGUUUUGUAUGCUCGAAUAGCUCAUGUAUCAACAAAGGCUGUCCUUAUCUUCCGUGUUAGGCGGGUUAUUCUUAAGACGAGUGGACUCCACUCCUCACUCACGAGAAAAUGGCUGGUCACCGGGAUACCCAGUCACAUGCUUUAUGCAAACUAAAUCCAAAUUAAUUGCAAACAAAACUCCCCCUAGGACCUGAUGUAUGUUGGAGGCACUCGUUGUUUCGAGCAAGCCAUGGAUUGAUGCUUGUUCGUGAAGGGGGAGUAUAAACUUUACCAUUAUGUUUGGGAACCGCCUAUAAUGUGUUUAGCAUGGAAGACAUCGCCAUCUCUUAGUUGUUAUGUUGACAAUGAAAGUAUACCGCUCAAAAUACAAUUUAUCUCUAUUGCAAAACCGAGCUCUGGCACCUCUACAAAUCCCUGCUUCCCUCUGCGAAGGGCCUAUCCAUUUACUUUUAUGAUGAGUCAUCACCCUCUUAUUAAAAAGCACUAGCUGGAGAGCACAACCGUCAUUUGCAUUCAUCACUAUUAAUUUAUAUUGGGUAUGACUAUGAUUGGAUCUCUUUUACCAUGAAUUACAAUGUCUAGUCAGUCCUUGAUCUUUAAAGGUGCUCUGCAUUUAUGUUUUGCGGUCUCGGAAAGGGCUAGCGAGAUACCAUCUUGUUAUAUCAUAUUAUGAUUGUUUUGAGAAAGUGUUGUCAUCCGAGAUUUAUUAUUAUGACUUGCUAGUUGAUUAUGCUAUUGAUACGAGUAAUUAUGAGACCUGAGAAUUAUUGCAAAUGUGGUUAGUUAUGAUGAAAACUUGAAUGCUGGCUUGACAUAGUUACAACAACAAGAGCAAACAGAGUUUGUAAAAGUUUUUCUUUCUUUCUUUCAGUUUGUCAACUGAAUUGCUUGAGGACAAGCAAGGGUUUAAGCUUGGGGGAGUUGAUACGUCUCCGUCGUAUCUACUUUUCCAAACACGUUUGCCCUUGUUUUGGACUCUAUCUUGUAUGAUUUGAAUGGAACUAACCUGGACUGACGCGGUUUUCAGCAGAAUUACCAUGAUGUUGUUUUAUGUGCAAAAAACAAAUAUUCUUGGAAUGACCUGAAACUCCACGGGAGGUCUUAGAAAAAACAAUAAAAAAUCCUCGCCAAAUAUGAAGACCAAGGGGCCCACACCCUUUCCACGAGGGUGGGGGCGCCCCCUAGGGCGUGCCCCCUACCUCGUGGGCCCCCUGUUGACCCUCCGACGCCAACUCCAACUCUAUAUAUUUGCUUUCGGAGAGAAAAAAAUAAGAGAGAAGAAAUCAUCGUGUUUUACGAUACGGAGCUCCGGAGAGGGGGAUUCGUCGCCGUCGUCAUCAUCAACCAUCCUCCAUCACCAAUUUCAUGAUGCCCACCGUCGUGCGUGAGUAAUUCCAUCGUAGGCUUGCUGGACGGUGAUGGGUUGGAUGAGAUUUAUCAUGUAAUCGAGUUAGUUUUUUUAGGGUUUGAUCCCUAGUAUCCACUAUGUUCUGAGAUUGAUGUUGCUAUGACUUUGCUAUGCUUAAUGCUUGUCACUAGGGCCCGAGUGCCAUGAUUUCAGAUCUGAACCUAUUAUGUUUGCAUUAAUAUAUGUGAGUUCUAGAUCCUAUCUUGCAAGUCUAUAGUCACCUACUAUGUGUUAUGAUCCGGCAACCCCGAAGUGACAAUAAUCGGGACCACUCCCGGUGAUGACCAUAGUUUGAGGAGUUCAUGUAUUCACUAUGUGCUAAUGCUUUGUUCUGGUUCUCUAUUAAAAGGAGGCCUUAAUAUCCCUAAGUUUCCAAUAGGACCCCGCUCCCACGGGAGGGUAGGACAAAAGAUGGCAUGCAAGUUCUUUUCCAUAAGCACGUAUGACUAUAUACGGAAUACAUGCCUACAUUACAUUGACGAAUUGGAGCUAGUUUUGUGUCACCCUAUGUUAUGACUGUUACAUGAUGAACCGCAUCUGGCAUAAUUAUCCAUCGCUGAUCGAGUGCCUACGAGUUUUCCAUAUACUGGUUUACGCUUAUUUACUUUCCCUCUGCUACUGUUACAAUCACUACAAAAUACCAAAAAUAUUACUUUUGCUGUCUUUACUUUUGUUGCCGCUACCACCACUAUCAUAUUACUUUGCUACUAAACACUUUGCUGCAGAUACUAAGUUUCCAGGUGUGGUUGAAUUGACAACUCAGCUGCUAAUACUUGAGAAUAUUCUUUGGCCCCCCUUGUGUCAAAUCAAUAAAUUUGGGUUGAAUACUCUACCCGCGGAAGCUGUUGCGAUCCCCUAUACUUGUGGGUUAUCAGGUCUCCGGUCCCGGCUGCUGCUGUUCCAGUGGUUACCGUCGCCGCGGCCGUAGAAUUUUGACCGGGCUGAGAGCCAGCCAUGUAGACCCCGGCUCGAUUUGGCGGCUCAAAGGGGUCCGGAAUACUGCUUCCAUCGGAACAGCCCCCAAGCCCGCCAUCAUGUAGUUGAUACAAUGAAUCUGCCUCACCUGUGGACGACUCGCCGUCAGAGUGGACAGCCGUCUCGCCGCUAUCCACAGAUCCUUCAGAAAGCUCCCCUCCAUGGAUGCAACCUACGAAGGCAUGCCUUACGGCUAGCUGAGCCCGGGCGGGUCUCGCACGCUGAGCCGUUUCGAUGAGGUCGGUGCAGACGUCCGACUCAGGGCCCGGCUCGCUGAUCCGGCCGACAAAGACAUGGAUUCCGCCGAAGGGGACCCGAUACCCGUACUCGAUCGAGACGGCCUCGGGGCCCCAGCCUGCGUCGUCGAUGUAGAGCUUGCCGCGACGACUCUUGGUCAUUCGGCCCACAUCGUAUCUCUUGAGCCCUUCGAAGGUGCCCUUCAAAAACUCAAAUCCACCAUGCGCUGGCCCCACGGUAGGCGCCAACUGUCCUGUAAUUUUCACGGCAGAUGUCCUAGUGAAAGGACUUAGUCGUGGAGCCAUCGCAACUAGGAAGCUUAAAGGGGUUAAUCAGGACAAAGGACACGAGAGGUUUAUACUGGUUCGGCCCCUUGCGGUGAAGGUAAAGCCUAGUCCAGUUGUUGUGGUAUUUCUAGGUUUCGAUGACCAAGGAGCGAAAUAUGAUAGCUUGGCUCUCGAUCGGAAGGUAAAGCCUAAGCCAUCGCCGGGUUGUCCCCUUAUAUACAAGGGUUGACGCCCUGCGGCCUAUAGAGUCCCGGCCGGCUCAUACAACGUGUCCGGCUCAGUGACGUAUUUUACAUGCCUUACUUUACAAGUCUUAUCAUACAUGGCGGUUUAUACUCAUAGGCCUUAAGCCGCCUCUGGGCUUCGGCCUACUACAACCUUAUCAUAAACUGUCACCUUGUAUAUUCUUCGGGCUUCCUUUAGUUAACCCGCCAUUGCUAUUGACCCGGCCCCUGCUGGGCGGGUCAUACCUGGUAGUUAUCCCCAACACUACUCAUAGCAUAACAUGACCACUAGCAUCAACAAUAAAUACCAUGCAAUAACAUAACGAUAAAACUACCAUGCGAGUAUUUAAUCAACUCGAUGCAAAGAAACAUGCAUAACGGCGGUACUCGGAACAGACGAUAGUCAUGCACUGAAGACCAUCACCAACAUGUACUACUACCAAACAUUGCCAAUAUUAAAGUAAUACUAUCAUGAAGAACAUAAUAACAGAGUGCAAGAAAACAUAGCAUCACGGUAAACACCGAUCCAUAAGCAUAACCGAAAUAAUGACAGCAGUAGCAAAACAAUCAAACAGUUAUUAAAGAUUCAAGUUGAAAACCAAUGCUUCUGCAUGACUAUCAUGCAAAUGGUGGUUGUGUCUUGCCUGUGUAUGAAGAAGGCUCUGGGGAGAAGUGCGGAAAGAUCGCGGAAGGAAUUGCCGAAAAGAUUCUCUCUCGAAGGGGGCUGAUUAGGGGCAAGGGCAAAAUGGGUCAUUUUCAGAAUGUUGAAACAUAGUGAAAAUGGUACCAAAAGUUUGGGCUCGACGAGACAAAGAAGUGGGCUUUGGAAUCACCUAAAUCGGAGUUGCGGUCGCGAAGAUACGAGAAGGGGAAGUCCAGGGACCAAUCUGUGAAAGUUUUCAUCACCAACAAGUCCCUGGGAGGAAAAACAGAUCGCGCACUUAGAGGAAUACGCCCCCAGGAAGGGAAAACGUACUUUCAGUCGUAGUAGAAUAAUAGUACAUUUUUGGAGAAGGGAAGACACAUUUCAAGAAAACCGUCUCCACUUAUCCACGUGGACCAGGGCGCUAGGCCACUGGCGCGUGGGUCCUAGUCGCAUGGGGAGGGGCUCGGGCGCUCGUCUCCU